AACUCUCAGCGAUGGAUCACUCGGCUUGUGCGUCGAUGAAGAACGCAGUUAGCUGUGAAUUGCAGGACACAUUGAUCAUCGACACUUCGAACGCACCUUGGGCCCCAGGUUCCUCCUGGUGCUACGCCUGUUUGAGGGUCG
ensembl:rRNA 5_8S_rRNA 5.8S ribosomal RNA